rnacentral:rRNA from 1 species
UACAGAGGGUGCAAGCGUUAUCCGGAAUUAUUGGGCGUAAAGAGCUCGUAGGCGGUUUGUCGCGUCUGCCGUGAAAGUCCGGGGCUCAACUCCGGAUCUGCGGUGGGUACGGGCAGACUAGAGUGAUGUAGGGGAGACUGGAAUUCCUGGUGUAGCGGUGAAAUGCGCAGAUAUCAGGAGGAACACCGAUGGCGAAGGCAGGUCUCUGGGCAUUAACUGACGCUGAGGGGCGAAAGCAUGGGGAGCGAACAGG